rnacentral:lncRNA from 10 species
CCAGUUUUGUAAGAAACUGCCACACUGUCUUCCAACAUAGCUGUACUAUUUUACAUUCUCACCAACUGAUAUGGUUUGGCUCUGUGUCCCCAUCCAAGUCUCAUCUCCAAUUGUAAUCCCCCCAUGUGUCAGGGGAGGGACCAGGAGGUUGGUGAUUGGAUUAUGGGAGCGGUUUACCCCACGCUGUUCUCGUGAUGAUGAGUGAAUUCUCACGAGAUCUGAUGGUUUUAAAGUGUGGUUCUUCCUCAUUCUCCCACACACUCCCUCCUGCUGCCUUGUGAAAAAGGUGCCUGCUUUCCCUUCACUUUCUGCCAUGAUUGUUAAGUUUUCUGAGGCCUCCUAGCCACACUUCCUGGUUUUUGUCCCUCUCUUAAAGUGAAUGGUCACAGAGCCAUGAGCAGGUGGAAGAUGCAGGUGGAGGCAUCUUCCCUGUCACCGUUGGUAUGUCUGGUUGAAACCUGCAACAAGUUGGGUUCUCUACCUGGCUGACGCCAUGUUGCCUGCUUCUUCACUGUGCAUGUGGAGCCUGAGGGGAAUGUUUCAAGGAAGAGGGGACAAGCAAGUCAGCAUCUGGAGGAAUGGAGGCAGCACUGUGUUGCAUGGCUCCAGAGAACACCACUCUCUUUGUGUUCUAUGCAACAUGCCCACGAGUUAUGCAUUGCAGCACCUGGCCAUAAAUCAUCACCAACCCUAUGGAUGAAGCAACACCCCAGGGAGGGUGGAGAAGUACAGGGGAAGGAGCCAGGGCCCCCAUGAAACAAACAUUUCUUCCAGGAAUUUCCCAAGCCCAGACCAUUGCAUGAAAAGAGAAAUAAAAUACUCUUUUGUUUCCAUCACAUUGUUUUUGGUCUCAGUUGGAGCAGCAGACCCUAUAUUGCAACAAACAGACUCAAUCACCCUCAUUAUUAGGAAAGUCAGCUCUGCAGCAAUUCUUCCCUUAAACACCACAGGGUGUUUUGGGCGUUAAAGGAAAAACCUUAGAAAAACUAAAUGUAACAGAAUUUAAUUGAGUGAAAAAUGGUUCUUGAAUUGGGCAAUCCCCAAAACAGAAUAGGUUCAGAGAUGCUUCCAGGCUACCGCGUGGUCGAGGAUGAUUUAUGGGCAGAAAAAAGAGAGUGACAUAUGGAAAACAGAAGUAAGGAACAGAAACAGCUGGAUGGGUUCUAGCUUGGCGUUUGCCUUCUUUGAACAUGGUUUGAAGAGUUGGCUGUCUGUGAUUGGCUGAAACCCAGAGAUUGGUACUAGAGUUGGUUAUAGCCUGUUUACACAUCCAGUUAGGUGAUAGUUCACUAUGUAUGAAGAAACAUUUAAACCAAACUGAAUUUAACAUGGAUAAGACAAGGUCUUUCGUUAAAGGGCCAUGAGAGUGAAGGCAACUUUCACCUCCAGAGCCCCUGCCUUCUGUGCCUGGAUGCCCAGAGGGUCAUCAGCCUGUGUCAUCACGUGGAAUGUCAUCCAUCCUCCUCUGAGAGCCUCAGCAGGGUAAAGAUAUGGCAAAACCCAGACUGUUGUAUUCAUCGCUGUAUACCUAGAGUCCAUCACUGUACUAGCACACAGUAGGGCUCAGAGGUGCUGCUUGCUCAGUAAAGGACUGAAUGAACACAUUGAUGGCUAUAGCCAGUGAGUGAUGCACCAGAUGGGUGCUCACAUUCCUCCAUGCUUUGGCUCCAUCCAACCUAUCUGCUUCCUCUACAAUGUCUUCUUCCCAUGUGGACCAACAGCAGCAACAGCACCUGGGGACUUGUUAGAAUGCAAACUCAUAGGCUGCUCUCCAGACUGCCCAAGUUGGGAACUCUGGUGCUGGCGCGGGGUGCAGUAGUCUGUGUUUUAAUGCACCCACCAGGCGAUUCCAAUGCUGACUCGAGUUUGAGAGCCGCUGCUCGCCAUGAGUGUUUCACAAAUUGCAUAGCACAGCCAUUCCUUUGUUGUUCCCUCUACCUGGGAUGCCUUUCUCCCUAUCUCUGUCAGUAGCAGACUCACUCAUGUUUGGGGGACUCUGAACACGCCACCUCCUCCAGAAAGUAUCCCCAGAUCCCCACAGUCUGGAGGAAUAACUCCCUGGGGAUACUCACAGGCUGUGCUUGUCUCUUCAAUCCCUGGUUUAUUCAGGCCAGAGCUUCCUGCCUCCCCAACUGGGAUGUGAGCUCCUUUCUGCAGUACCAGGUUUUCUUCAACUCCCCAGCCCCUGGCUCCAUCGAGCCAAACUUACAUUGGUAUUCAAUAAAUGCUGUUGGUUUGGUUUUUUUGUUUUUUUUUUUUUUUUUUUGAGACGGAGUCUCGCUCUGUUGCCCAGCCUGGAGUGCAGUGGUGCAAUCUCCGCUCACUGCAAGCUCUGCCUCCCGUGUUCAUGCCAUUCUCCUGCCUCAGCCUCCCGAGUAGCUGGGACCACAGGCACCUGCCACCACCCAGCUAAUUUUUUGUAUUUUUAGUAGAGACAGGAUUUCACUGUGUUAGCCAGGAUGGUCUCGAUCUCCUGACCUCGUGAUCCACCCGCCUCAGCCUCCCAAAGUGCUGGGAUUACAGGCAUGAGCCAACAUGCCUGGCCUGCUGUUGGUUAGAAUAAUACCACAGAGCAUCAGUCUAGUCCACUCCUAGAUAUAGACUCACAAAGAAGAAAGCCAGGUGGCACAGUGAU